rnacentral:rRNA from 1 species
UCGAGAAUUUUUCUCAAUGGGGGAAACCCUGAAGGAGCGACGCCGCGUGGAGGAUGAAGGUCUUCGGGUUGUAAACUCCUGUCAUUUGAGAACAAGGUGCACAUGUUAACUGCAUGUGCAUUGAUAGUAUCAGAAGAGGAAGGGACGGCUAACUCUGUGCCAGCAGCCGCGGUAAUACAGAGGUCCCAAGCGUUGUUCGGAUUCAUUGGGCGUAAAGGGUGUGUAGGUGGCGCCGUAAGUCGGGUGUGAAAUCUCGGGGCUUAACUCCGAAACUGCAUUCGAUACUGCGGUGCUUGAGGACUGGAGAGGAGACUGGAAUUCAUGGUGUAGCAGUGAAAUGCGUAGAGAUCAUGAGGAAGACCAGUGGCGAAGGCGGGUCUCUGGACAGUUCCUGACACUGAGACACGAAGGCCAGGGGAGCAAACG